UUUAUCGGAGAGUUUGAUCCUGGCUCAGGACGAACGCUGGCGGCGUGCCUAAUACAUGCAAGUCGAGCGGACAGAUGGGAGCUUGCUCCCUGAUGUUAGCGGCGGACGGGUGAGUAACACGUGGGUAACCUGCCUGUAAGACUGGGAUAACUCCGGGAAACCGGGGCUAAUACCGGAUGGUUGUUUGAACCGCAUGGUUCAGACAUAAAAGGUGGCUUCGGCUACCACUUACAGAUGGACCCGCGGCGCAUUAGCUAGUUGGUGAGGUAACGGCUCACCAAGGCAACGAUGCGUAGCCGACCUGAGAGGGUGAUCGGCCACACUGGGACUGAGACACGGCCCAGACUCCUACGGGAGGCAGCAGUAGGGAAUCUUCCGCAAUGGACGAAAGUCUGACGGAGCAACGCCGCGU
rnacentral:rRNA from 2 species